ensembl:lncRNA
AAACAAUUCCGCGACACUGACUCUGACUGUUCAUGAGGUGAGGCAGUGCUUUGGGUGCAGCCCACAUCUCUUAGUGCCUUGAAGCUGGAAUCAGUGAGUGCAAAUCUCAACCAAGAGACCCAGUCCAGAGCCACGGACCCACUCUGCUCCUCGUGGAGCUGCAGCCCAAUGUCCGACCUCAGUUCAGAACUCAGCCCUGAGUCGUGGUGCCCACUCCUGUUCCAGCCCAGCACUGAACGUGGCUCUGCUCCCGGCACCACGCAGCACUGCCUCUCUGCAGAACAUAAAAUGCAGACUACCAGAAUGCCAAAAAGGGCAGCUCCACUGAGCCUCCGAGCGCUCGGCUCGUGGUGUGCAGCAGUCACUCAUCAUUUGCACAAGUGGGGAUUCCACCAGGCAAUUCUCAGAGAAAUAAAGAUCAUCUCUUCGAGAAAGGAACUUUACAAAAAAAUUACAGUAUUAAAAUCGUAGAAUGGCUUGGGUUGGAAGGGACCUCAAGGGCCAUGAAGCUCCAAUCCCCUCGCUGAAUGCAGGGUCACCAACCAGGCUAGCUAUGCCAG